UUGAAGCGAAAUAUAUCAGUCCGCAAGUCUUCGCAUGCAAGUGUACGCUCGUCGCACAGCGUUAUGACGGUAUCAAUACUCCUGCUGUCCUUACUUUGUAAUUUUGGUUUAUCAUUGGCUAUCAGAGACUAUGGUAUUGUCUAUCCAACCUUGUUUAGCGCACGAGGAUCUGGCGAAGAUAAAGUUUUGAGAAUAAACGAGCAUAUGACUCUCAAUCUGAAAAAGAGCAAAGUAUUCUCUGACGACUUCAUGUUCAUAUCUGAAGAAAAUGGUGAACGAAUACAUCUCCCUAUGCGGAAAGACAUUUACGAGAAAGAUUUGUAUCAUGACGCGGAACUGAUGGCUUCACUUAUGGUUCGAACAGAUGACGGUGUCAGCGUGGUAAGGACCGCUUACUGCUG